rnacentral:rRNA from 1 species
GUACUGCAGUCGAGCGGACGGAUGGAGAGCUUGGUCCCUGUAUGUUAGACGGCGGACGGGUGAGUAACACGUGUGUAACCUGUCGCUGUAUAGACUGUGAUAACUCUCGCGGAGAACCGCGGGCGUCAAUACCCGCGAGUGUCAUAUGUUUGUAGACACGUCGACUGUGUGUCUACAGACAUAUAAGGUGGCUUCGCGCGUACGACUUAUAGAUGGACCCGCGGCGCAUUAUCUAGUUGGGGAGGUAAAGGCUCACCAAGGCGACGAUGCGUAGCCGACAUGAGAGGGUGGAGCGCCCACACUGGGACUGAGACACGGCCCACACUCCUACGGGAGGGAGCAGUAGGGAAUCUUCCGCAAUGGACGAAAGUCUGAGGGAGCAACGCCGCGCGAGUGAUGAAGGUUUUCGGAUCGCAAAGCUCUGUUGUGAGGGAAGAACAAACGUGCCGGUUCAAAUAGGGCGGCGAGCCUUGGGGGUGAGCUCUAACCAGAAAGCCGACGGCUAAUCAUACGUGCCGACCAGCCGCGGUGAAUACGUAGGUGGCGAGAGCGUUGUCCGGAAUUAUUGGGCGUAAAGGGCUGCGCAGGCGGUGUGUCUUAAAUCUGAUGAUGAAGAGCCGCCCGGCUCAACACGGGGAGAGUGCGAUCUGUAAACUGGGGAACUAUGAGUGCAGCAAGAAGAAGAGUGUAAUUCCACGUGUAGUCGCUGGAAAUGCGUAGUAGAUAUGUAGAAACACCACUG